GUGUAGUUGAGUGAGAUGCCUACUUCUACCAAAAGAGAGUGAAUGUCUCUGCUGUUGACAAUGGGACCAGUUUAUUCUGAUAAUGGAGGAGGUAGAACAUCAGACUGACGACGGGUCCUCACCCUGGAGUGGAUGUUGAGGGGAGAACAUCUAGGUCAAGGCCAACGACAGGUCCUCACCCUGGAGUGGAUGCUGAGGGGAGAACAUCUAGGUCAAGGCCAAUGACGGGUCCUCACCCUGGAGUGGAUGUUGAGGGGAGAACAUCUAAGUCAAGGCCAACGACAGGUGAUCCCAGCUUUUGGUGGCAGCAGUUAUAUCUAACUACCCCGACCCCAACAGCAGCUACAUUGGAUUCCAGGAAGCUGAGGCUCAUAGCGUCUUAGACAAAUAGCAUUUUCAAGAAAUAACAUUGUAGUUCAAAUGUUUUAUUAACAAUUUAAUGUUAUUAUUAAACAUAAAACAACAUUUACACAGUUACUAAGCAAUUCACAGUGUCACUCAGCAGUAGUUAGACCAGGGAUUUACACACAUCUACCUAGAGAGCAACCAUCUUGUAGAGUUUCACUCCAACAGCUGGGCUUGAUUAGGGUUGGAUUGACAACCUACAGGGCGGUAGGUCUCUAGGUACAGUGUUUGAGAACCUACAGGACGGUAGGUCUCUAG
ensembl:lncRNA